rnacentral:ncRNA from 1 species
GGGGAGGAUCUGACGGGCAGUACGUCGACGGACGGGGGAAGCCGGUGCGAAUCCGGCGCGGUCCCGCCACUGUGACCGGGCGCCCGGACGGGGCCCGGGAGCCAGAGCGCCCGCCGCCGACGGUCGAGUUGG